rnacentral:rRNA from 1 species
AUUGAACGCUGGCGGCAGGCCUAACACAUGCAAGUCGAGCGGAUGAGUGGCGCUUGCUCCAUGAUUCAGCGGCGGACGGGUGAGUAAUGCCUAGGAAUCUGCCUGGUAGUGGGGGACAACGUUUCGAAAGGAACGCUAAUACCGCAUACGUCCUACGGGAGAAAGUGGGGGAUCUUCGGACCUCACGCUCUCAGAUGAGUCUAGGUCGGAUUAGCUAGUUGGUGAGGUAAAGGCUCACCAAGGCGACGAUCCGUAACUGGUCUGAGAGGAUGAUCAGUCACACUGGAACUGAGACACGGUCCAGACUCCUACGGGAGGCAGCAGUGGGGAAUAUUGGACAAUGGGCGAAAGCCUGAUCCAGCCAUGCCGCGUGUGUGAAGAAGGUCUUCGGAUUGUAAAGCACUUUAAGUUGGGAGGAAGGGCAGUAAGUUAAUACCUUGCUGUUUUGACGUUACCAACAGAAUAAGCACCGGCUAACUUCGUG